rnacentral:rRNA from 1 species
UACGAAGGGGCUAGCGUUGUUCGGAAUUACUGGGCGUAAAGCGCGCGCAGGCGGUCUUCCAAGUCAGUGGUGAAAGCCCGGAGCUCAACUCCGGAACUGCCAUUGAAACUGUUGAACUUGAGGACGAGAGAGGUGAGUGGAAUUCCCAGUGUAGAGGUGAAAUUCGUAGAUAUUGGGAAGAACACCAGUGGCGAAGGCGGCUCACUGGCUCGUUUCUGACGCUCAGGCGCGAUAGCGUGGGGAUCAAACAGG